rnacentral:lncRNA from 1 species
UCAAACCUCCUUGGAUCAUUUCACUUCGACAUUUUCCAAAGCCUCUUUACAUGUCUGUGGUUUUUGUUUAAGAAUUUAGAAAACAAUGAAGAAAAAUCCCCACCCAGUUCAAACUUCUUAUUUUGUUAAGCUUGUAAAUGUUAUUAUGUUUUCCAUUAGGGUUCAUUUAAAUUAAGCCUCAAUGAUUUGGAGUGAAAUUAAUUAAUAAUAUAAAUAUAUUAAAGAUCAUGCUUAUAUAAAUCUAUUUGACUGUUUUGACUACAUGAAACCUACUUAGCAAAUGGAAUAAAAGAUUGGAACUUGCUGAACAACUGGUUAUUUGGGGAUGUAUAUCUUGUUAAGUGUAUGGGUGAGAGCUCUCCUUUUCUGUUGGGUGAAACCUCUACUCUUCUUUUAGGUUCAUAGGUAAAUGAAUAAACAUAGGACUGGGAGGGAAAUGCAACUGAGAAUAGUUACAUAUUUUGUUCAAUGACUAAGAAUCAUGGCAUUGUGAGUCUAGGGCUGUACUCAGUUCUCAUUCGUGUUUCCUGUUCUUCAGAAUGCCCAACACAAACUCUGGCAGAUAUUCUACUCAUCAAUACUCCAUUCCACUUGGUAUUUGAGUCCUUUGAAAUUCGAUUUUAUUUUGUGACAAUGCUGACUUCUACUGAUGGUAGCCGACAUUAUGAGAAGAAUGAAUUGUGUUAUUGGGGAACAGUUGACGUUUGGUUACAUGACAGUGUCCUGACAGAUGCUGAAGCCUAUGAAGGAGGCUGGAAAUGGCAGGGAAGCCACAGUAAGUAUAGUGAGUCAUGCCACUCUAAUUGUGAGCCCUCAGUAGAAUCCUAAAUAAAUAUAACUCGCAUACUUUGCACACUAAUCACCUUUAGUAGUGAUACAACUCAUGGAUAAUUUUAGAACCUUUUUCUAGGGCAUGUUGCAAGUACCUGGGCACAGUAGAGCCAGCGUUACCUGGCUAUAUGCCUUGCCCUGUUCGGAAGACAGCCUGUGCUGGCGGCUAACAAAGGAGCCGAUGUCUCUUGGCCUUUUCUAUGGGUCCUUGCCCAGGGCUACCUGUUACUGGUAUUUGAGUAAUUCCAAACUGUGCACGAUAGCAGGGUUUUUCCUGAACGGUCUCAAAAAUUGACUCAUUCCCUCCCUUUCUCUUAGUUAUCCUAGAAAAUUGGGAUGGAUGGGCAGACAUGGGAAAUACGGUCCUUGUUUUCUCCUUACAGAUAGUCCUGAAACUGUCGUACUGUCACUAAAAUAGCUGCGUGGUCACUUUUAUCUAGAGGACAGGAGCAUCUAAGGUUAAGAGUUAAGCUAAAACUGUACAAAAGUUGCUGGUAUUUCUUUCUAUGGUGCUAAAAUGAUUAUGAGAAAAAUAAUGUAUUUUAUUUUUAAGGAAGCACACGUUAAUAUGGGCAUCUCGGAUUGCAUUUUCUCCUCUCGUAUUGUAUUCUAGAUUCACUCUUUGCCCUUAAGAAGAUGAUUUCAAGGCCAGCAAUUACACAGUUAGGAAUAACAAGUCUCAUGAAUCAAUUUCAUUGAAACGUUUGUUUAAAUUGUCUGCCUUUAGAAAUAGAAACCAAUUAGUUGUUUGAGAAAAGUUCUGAGAAAUACAAGAAUCAUGGGGACAAGAGAGCAGAAGGAUGUGGUGACAGAUUAGUCUCUGCUUUUUCUACUCUACGUUUUACAUAGAGUAUACUUUUUGAAGUUCAUGAUACAAUAAAUCACUUAAAUGUCUUUUAUGUGUGUUUAUCCUCGGCACAAUGUUUCUGCUAGUUGGAUUGUAGUUUGCUUUUGUGAAGAAUUGAUUCUGGGGCAAGAGUCUGCUCAACCUUUGUAGUGGGUAAGUUAACUGGAGGAGAUGCAGGGUGGAGGUUACUUUUUCCCAUCAUAGCCAGGGAACCAGAAUAAAACAAACAUCUCCAAAUUGCUGUCCUUCUGGGUUAGAGUCUUACCUUUGCUUUUUCAAGGUGUAUAGAAGAAUCCUUCUUUGAUUUUCUGAGCUACGAGCAGCUCUCAAAAACAGGGAUUUAUAUUUUUGGUCUCUGCAAUGUCUUUAUUAUAGCAUAAAAAAAGUGUAAGGUUAGGAGACAUGGAAAAUGUGUUUCUCUGGGAAAUUCUGGAUAUGUAGUAAAAAGAGAACUUCUAGAUCAGGAGUUUUAAAAAUCUUCUUGAACAAAACAUAACUUAGAUAUCAGAGACAAAAUAAUGUAGUUCGAACCAGGUCCUACUUCCAUCUGUCCUUUGUAUGUGGAGCAUUGAGAAAAAUUAAGAAUUUCUCUGGAGAAAAGGAAUCAUAGAUAUGAAAUUAACAAUGAUAAAAAGGAUAUAUAGGUGCAAAAUAGACAAAAAUACUUUACAGAAAAUGCAGAAGCAGGAUCCUUACAUUCUAACUGUGGGGAGUAAGGAAGCACUCUAGAGAGGAGUUGGUAUUUCAGUAAGAUUCAGAAUAUUUUAACAGGUUGAGAAUUGGAGAAGGGGGAGUAUUUCAAGUGGAGGCAAUGCUUAAGCACAAAGGCAUGAAAGGCCUUGCUACUGAGAAUACUCACUUCCCAGAGGCAUUAAAUACAAGUAGAGUAAGUCCAGGUUUUUUUUUUUUCUCACCAUGACCUAACAGCAAAAUAUGCAAUCUGCAUCAAGUUAGUUUCUUACGUGCAAAAUCAGAUGUAGAUCGCUGUCUCAGGAUGACACCUCAAAGUCCUCAGACAUCAGAGGACAUAAGCAUUGACCAAAAUUGAACAGAGCUCUGGGAGGGAGGAAAGGCUUCAGUCAGAUUUUGUCGUAUUCUAUAAAUGGAUUUUUCAGAUUACUUGGAAUUUUGGAGUUAUCUUUUUUUUUAUUCUGAGUAUCAUUCAUAGAGCUUGAAAAUGAAAAAAAAAAAGUUUUUUAGAGCCUAUUCCCUAUGGAAAGAAGCAUCCCUUUGUGAGUAUUGGUGAUCAGGAUUAGUGGUUAGUGAUUACUACUAUGAAUUUUCAACAGCAGGCACACUGAAUUUUCAGUACUUGUUAACAUUUCACUUAAAACAGGCUAGGCAGACACCUAGACAAGAAAGAGUUGCUCUGGAGUAGAGACAACUUUUAAAAAUGUCUCUUGCAUUAUGCUUCCAUAACAGAAAAACCAGGAAACAGUUUUUACCAGAAAAUGAGAUAUCUGCCUUAUGGUAUCCAGAUGUCAUCCUUUACAUCAAGUGUGUAAGCAAGAUUUUUGCUUCCUUCUUUUUUUUCUUUUUAUUUUUUUUGCUAUAUUCAUCAUCUGGCUGUUAUCUUUGUGGAGGUGCAAACUCCUUAAAGGUUUUCCAAAAAUAACAAGUGAAUCAAGGGAAGAGGAGGAAGAUUAGAAAAGUUUUCUGGGUUAACCACUCAGCUCUAUCAACACAUGAGUACUACAUUCUGGAUCAGGGAGAAUUCUGUACUGAAUGCAUAAGCAAGGGAGCAAAAUGGAGUUUGGAAAAUAUGUGCCCACAUACUUGUGAGUGCAGAGUGGAGGAAAAAGGGCAGCUGAAAAGCAUAUGAAAAUGUGCAUCUAUCUACCUGUUUGGAUUCCUUUCUUCACUAGAGGUGAGUGGCUCCAGUAAAAUCCUAGUGUUCUCAUGCAGUAAGGGGUCUUUGGGUUCCCAUAUCAACAAAAGACUAGUUCUGAAAGAGCUGAAAUAAAAUAAGUACAUUUGUCACAGUAACCAAAACUGUUCCUCUUUUUAUCUUUAUUUGGUGAUUCAUAAGCAGUUUAGGUGGAUGAUAAUAGUAUUUGGUAUUGGCAGGGAGUCACCAUUAGGAACAUUAAAAUAGUUUUAAAAAGG